GCCAGAGUGGUGGAAUUGGCAGACACGCUACGUUCAGGGCGUAGUCCUGGCAACAGGGUGCGGGUUCAACUCCCGCCUCUGGCA
rnacentral:tRNA from 1 species